UUGAACGCUGGCGGCAGGCCUAACACAUGCAAGUCGAACGGUAACAGGAAGCAGCUUGCUGCUCGCUGACGAGUGGCGGACGGGUGAGUAAUGUCUGGGAAACUGCCUGAUGGAGGGGGAUAACUACUGGAAACGGUAGCUAAUACCGCAUAACGUCGCAAGACCAAAGAGGGGGACCUUCGGGCCUCUUGCCAUCAGAUGUGCCCAGAUGGGAUUAGCUUGUUGGUGGGGUAACGGCUCACCAAGGCGACGAUCCCUAGCUGGUCUGAGAGGAUGACCAGCCACACUGGAACUGAGACACGGUCCAGACUCCUACGGGAGGCAGCAGUGGGGAAUAUUGCACAAUGGGCGCAAGCCUGAUGCAGCCAUGCCGCGUGCAUGAAGAAGGCCUUCGGGUUGUAAAGUACUUUCAGCGGGGAGGAAGGUGUUGUGGUUAAUAACCGCAGCAAUUGACGUUACCCGCAGAAGAAGCACCGGCUAACUCCGUGCCAGCAGCAGC
rnacentral:rRNA from 1 species